GACGUAGGGUGCGAGCGUUGUCCGGAUUUAUUGGGCGUAAAGAGCUCGUAGGCGGCUCGUCGCGUCGUCCGUGAAAACCCGCGGCUUAACCGCGGGCUUGCGGUUGAUACGGGCGGGCUAGAGUUCGGUAGGGGAGACUGGAAUUCCUGGUGUAGCGGUGGAAUGCGCAGAUAUCAGGAAGAACACCCGUGGCGAAGGCGGUUCUCUGGGACGGUACUGACGCUGAGACGCGAAAGCGUGGGGAGCGAACAGG
rnacentral:rRNA from 1 species